rnacentral:rRNA from 2 species
AACGUAGGAGCCAAGCGUUAUCCGAAUUCACUGGGCGUAAAGCGCAUGCAGGCGGUCCGGUAAGUUGGAUGUGAAAUCUCCCGGCUCAACUGGGAGAGGCCGUUCAAUACUGUUGGACUAGAGGGCGACAGAGGGAGGUGGAAUUCCGGGUGUAGUGGUGAAAUGCGUAGAUAUCCGGAGGAACACCAGAGGCGAAGGCGACCUCCUGGGUCGUACCUGACGCUCAGAUGCGAAAGCUAGGGGAGCGAACGGG